rnacentral:rRNA from 1 species
CGGGGGCCCGCCAAGCGGUGGAGCAUGUGGUUUAAUUCGAUGCAACGCGAAGAACCUUACCUGGUCUUGACAUCCACAGAACUUUCCAGAGAUGGAUUGGUGCCUUCGGGAACUGUGAGACAGGUGCUGCAUGGCUGUCGUCAGCUCGUGUUGUGAAAUGUUGGGUUAAGUCCCGCAACGAGCGCAACCCUUAUCCUUUGUUGCCAGCGGUUCGGCCGGGAACUCAAAGGAGACUGCCAGUGAUAAACUGGAGGAAGGUGGGGAUGACGUCAAGUCAC